GGGGGCGAUCGGUCUCGACGGGACGAAUGAGAUGAAUGAGGGCAUACCGAGGGUUCUGGCCACCUCGUUAAUCCGACCUGAGAAAAAAGAUCCUGAAAUGGGAUAUGCUUUAGCUGCAUAAAGAUUGCAGCUUCGUCUGCCUGAGUGGCCAGCCCAGCUCAGGGCCAGGCGUCAUAUAGGGCUGAAGCCCAUUAGUUCCCGCCUUUGGAAUUAAUGGGUCAUUCUGAAAAGGCUAUCUCUUGUCGACCUGUCUCUUGGUGACGCAAGAGGAGAUUCGUAAAGAGACUAAGUAUGUAGUCCUCUUCAUUGAAGCGUUUCGGACGCGGGUUCGAUUCCCGCCGCCUCCAUCA
rnacentral:tmRNA from 1 species